GACGAACGCUGGCGGCGUGCUUAACACAUGCAAGUCGAACGGAAAGGCCCAGCUUUUGUGUGGUGCUCGAGUGGCGAACGGGUGUGUAACACGUGAGUAACCUUCCCUUUACUUUGGGAUAACUUGAGGAAACUGGGGCUACUACAUGCUACGAGCUCCUGCUGCUUGGUGGGGGUUGGAAAGCUCCGGGGGUUGGGGAUAGACUCGGGGCUUAUCAGCUGGUUGGGGGGGUAGUGGCUUACCAAGGCUUUGGAGGCUCGCCUGCCUGGGUGGUUGACCGGGCACAUGGGGACUGAGAGAGGGGCCAGACGGCUACGGGAGGCAGCAGUGGGGAAUAUUGCACAAUGGGCGGAAGCCUGGUGCAGAAACGCCGCGUGCGGGAAGACGGCCUUGGGGUUAGAAACCGCAGUCGCCUGAUACGAAGCGUGAUUGACGGUAAUGGGAAAAGAAGCACCGGCUAACUACGUG
rnacentral:rRNA from 1 species